GCUUGUCUCAAAGAUUAAGCCAUGCAUGUCUCAGCAUAAGCUUCAACACGGUGAAACUGCAAAUGGCUCAUUAAAGCAGUUACAAUUUAUUUGAUGGUCACUGUUACAUGGAUAACUGUGGUAAUUCUAGAGCUAAUACAUGCAUCAAAACCUGACUCUUGGGAAGGGUUGUGUUUAUUAGAUAACGAACCAAUAUUCCUCUGGUCUAUUGUGGUGAAUCAUAAUAACUGAUCGAAUCGCAAAGCCUUUGGCUGCGAUAUGUCAUUCAAGUUUCUGCCCCAUCAGCUUUCGAUGGUAGUGUAUUGGACUACCAUGGCUUUUACGGGUAACGGAGAAUUAGGGUUCGAUUCCGGAGAGGGAGCCUGAGAAACGGCUACCACAUCUAAGGAAGGCAGCAGG
rnacentral:rRNA from 1 species